rnacentral:rRNA from 1 species
GAGUCGGACCUGCCCGGUGACCUACGGGUUAAACGGCCGCGGUACACUGACCGUGCAAAGGUAGCACAAUCACUUGCCUUUUAAUUGGAGGCUGGUAUGAAUGGUUUGACGAGGGCUGAGCUGUCUCUCCUGGAAUAUUUAAAAAUUAACUUCUAAGUGAAAAGGCUUAGAUUUAACUGAGGGACGAGAAGACCCUGUUGAGCUUUAGUGUGGAAUAAAAGGUUUAUUUUUAUUAGAAUAGAGGAUUUUAAGUUUAUUCUUACAUCUUUAGUUGGGGUGACUAGGGAACAUGGAAAGCUUCUCUGUUAAUUUGUAGAAAUUUGGUUUACUAACGAGUGAUCCAGCAUUGCUGAUUAUCGGAAAAAGUUACCACAGGGAUAACAGCGUAAUCUUUCUGGAGAGUUCACAUUGAAAGAAGGGUUUGCGACCUCGAUGUUGGAUUAAGGUGUCCUGAGGGUGUAGCAGCUUUCGUUGGUUGGUCUGUUCGACCAUUAAA